UGCCUGGCGCAUUAUUACAGAUAUACUCACAAGAGACCAGUUUAACGCUUCGAUCCCUCUGCCCUGCAAAGACAGCAAAUUUUUUUAAAAACAUUUGUUUGAGGGUGUUUUUCAGCAGAACAAAGGACUCAAAAACAAAUUUAUACCAUUUUCUUAA